rnacentral:rRNA from 1 species
UAAUACGUAGGUCACGAGCGUUAUCCGGAUUUACUGGGCGUAAAGCGUGUGCAGGCUGUUAGGUAAGUGGUGUGUGAAAGCGCUCGGCUUAACCGAGCGAGGGCAUGCCAGACUGCCUAGCUAGAGGCAGCCAGAGGGACAUGGAAUUCCGAGUGUAGCGGUGAAAUGCGUAGAGAUUCGGAGGAACACCAGAGGCGAAGGCGGUGUCCUGGGGCUGACCUGACGCUCAGACACGACAGCAUGGGGAGUGAACGGGAUUAGAAACCCCGGUAAUCCAUGCCGUAAACGAUGCAGACUAGGUGUCGGCGGUCUCAACCCCGUCGGUAUCGCAGCUAACGCGCUAAGUCUGCCGCCUGGGGACUACGGUCGCAAGACUA